UUUCGACGACCCUGGCGGCAGGUCUAACACAUGCAAGUCGAGCGCACCUUUUCGGAGGUGAGCGGCGCACGGGUGAGUAACGCGUGGGAACCUACCCUGGGGUAGGGGAUAACCGCUGGAAACGGCGGCUAAUACCCUAUACGUCCUUCGGGAGAAAGAUUUAUCGCCCUGGGAUGGGCCCGCGUCGGAUUAGCUAGUUGGUGGGGUAAAGGCUCACCAAGGCGACGAUCCGUAGCUGGUCUGAGAGGAUGAUCAGCCACACUGGGACUGAGACACGGCCCAGACUCCUACGGGAGGCAGCAGUGGGGAAUAUUGGACAAUGGGCGCAAGCCUGAUCCAGCCAUGCCGCGUGAGUGAAGAAGGCCUUAGGGUUGUAAAGCUCUUUCACCCGCGAAGAUGAUGACGGUAGCGGGAGAAGAAGCCCCGGCUAACUCCGUGCCAGCAGCCGCGGUAAUACGGAGGGGGCAAGCGUUGUUCGGAUUUACUGGGCGUAAAGGGCGCGUAGGCGGAUGUUCACGUCAGAGGUGAAAGCCCCGGGCUCAACCUGGGAACUGCCUUUGAACGGGACAUCUUUGAGUUCGGAAGAGGGUA
rnacentral:rRNA from 1 species